rnacentral:tRNA from 1 species
GGUGGCUCAGAGUUAGAGUGCUUGCCUCGCAUGCAUGAGGCUCUGGGUUCAAUUUCUCAGCACCA